rnacentral:tRNA from 1 species
GGGGAUUUAGCUCAGUGGCUAAAGUGCCUGCCUGGUAAGCGGAAGGUCGUGAGUCAAUCCCCA